GACAGAGGAUGCAAGCGUUAAUCGGAAUUACUGGGCGUAAAGCGUGCGCAGGCGGUUUUGUAAGUCUGUUGUGAAAUCCCCGGGCUCAACCUGGGAAUGGCAAUGGAGACUGCAAGGCUAGAGUUUGGCAGAGGGGGGUAGAAUUCCACGUGUAGCAGUGAAAUGCGUAGAUAUGUGGAGGAACACCGAUGGCGAAGGCAGCCCCCUGGGUCAAAACUGACGCUCAUGCACGAAAGCGUGGGGAGCAAACAGG
rnacentral:rRNA from 1 species